CUUUCUUUGAGUGUUACCUUUGGUUUCUUGCGGAGGUUCGGGGACAGUUUGAGGCUGAUGACGGAGCCUCGGUCAUCUCCCACAAUGAUGAUUGGACGGACGGGAUUAAACUCAAUCUGUUUGUACAGCGGAACAAUACGGACGGAAAUCAACUGAAUUGUCAAGUCUGGAUGAAAGACGACUCAAGAGUAUCUGAGCUGGACGACACGACAUAAAAUGUGAACUCUGCGGCCCACUCCUUCAAGCUAGCAGAUGAAUGAUUGUGUCUGGGUCACUUGCCUGCGAACGAGAUAUUGAUGCUUUGGAAUGAUUCUUACCAAUCCUUCUGUGGUGACGGCAGCAAAGACAGUGGAGGAGUACGGUGCCCAUGCCACAUCCCCAACUGGAGCACUGAGCUCAAACGUUAACAUGGCAGUGCUGAACAAAAUAAUCAGUAUGGUCCCAGAUCUUGAUGGUCCAAUCCGAGCUGCAAGAGAUGAAAACUUUUGGGUGCUCCUCCGUGUACGCAUCAUAUAUCUCCCACUGAACAGACAAAAGAAAAGCUUCUGAUCCUUUGUUUUGGAAGAAGCACUGUCUGGUCUGUCAUCUUCUCCAGCAUCCUCUUCUUCACCUCCAUCACCAGAUAGAGGUCUUCACUGGCUGCCAGCCUGCGAGCCUCAUCAGAGUCCUGAUGUAUGAGACAACCAUCCAAGACAAAGUGAACAGCCAGCUGAUCAACAACACUGGUCAGCUUGAAAGCACCUUCCUGGAAACAUAACAUAAACAUCAGUGAGAUCCAGUUGAUCAGCGGGUUUAACAGGUUUGCCAUGAGUCCUUUCUUCCCAGCCAUAAUCACCAUAGUCAUCUUCUUCAUCCUGCAAUGAAAUAUUUUUUU